rfam:Cellulomonas carbonis T26 contig54, whole genome shotgun sequence.
CGGUCUCCGGUUCACGUGGGCGAGCCCGCCCGCGACCCGGGGAC